UACGGAGGGUGCAAGCGUUAUCCGGAAUCAUUGGGUUUAAAGGGUCCGCAGGCGGUCUUAUAAGUCAGUGGUGAAAGCCUACAGCUCAACUGUAGAACUGCCAUUGAUACUGUAAGACUUGAAUUCGAUCGAAGUGGGCGGAAUGUGACAUGUAGCGGUGAAAUGCUUAGAUAUGUCACAGAACACCGAUAGCGAAGGCAGCUCACUAGGUCUGGAUUGACGCUCAGGGACGAAAGCGUGGGGAGCAAACAGG
rnacentral:rRNA from 1 species